rnacentral:piRNA from 1 species
UGUUGAAUCGUGUAAGAAGGCAUC